rnacentral:rRNA from 1 species
CCUACGGGAGGCAGCAGUGGGGAAUCUUGCGCAAUGGGCGAAAGCCUGACGCAGCCAUGCCGCGUGAAUGAUGAAGGUCUUAGGAUUGUAAAAUUCUUUCACCGGGGACGAUAAUGACGGUACCCGGAGAAGAAGCCCCGGCUAACUUCGUGCCAGCAGCCGCGGUAAUACGAAGGGGGCUAGCGUUGCUCGGAAUUACUGGGCGUAAAGGGAGCGUAGGCGGACAUUUAAGUCAGGGGUGAAAUCCCGGGGCUCAACCUCGGAAUUGCCUUUGAUACUGGGUGUCUUGAGUAUGAGAGAGGUGUGUGGAACUCCGAGUGUAGAGGUGAAAUUCGUAGAUAUUCGGAAGAACACCAGUGGCGAAGGCGACACACUGGCUCAUUACUGACGCUGAGGCUCGAAAGCGUGGGGAGCAAACAGGAUUAGAUACCCUGGUAGUCCACGCCGUAAACGAUGAUUGCUAGUUGUCGGGAUGCAUGCAUUUCGGUGACGCAGCUAACGCAUUAAGCAAUCCGCCUGGGGAGUACGGUCGCAAGNUUAAAACUCAAAGANAGUACGCGNGAGAGAGCGACGACGACGACGAGGAGGAGAG